rnacentral:misc_RNA from 1 species
UCUCCGUUGGUGAACCAGCGGAGGGAUCAUUACAGAGUUUAUUAUAACUCCUAAACCCAUGUGAACCUACCUUCUGUUGCCUCGGCAGGCAAGUCGUAUCUUGCUACCCUAUAGGACCCUAUCUUGAAAGACGUUACCUUAUAAGGUCCUAUCCGGUAGAGAGAUGCGGUACUACCUGCCGGUGGACUGAAAAAAAAAUUCUGUUUAAUAAAUGGUAUUCUGAAUCAUUAUAUGGAAAUUAAGUUAAAACUUUCAACAACGGAUCUCUUGGUUCUG